CAGUUGUGGGUGAAGUUUAUUAAGGCAAUACUGAAUACCAGAGCAUUUCAACAAGGCUUACCACACAGGCCCCAGUACCUUUCUACUCUACAAUGAGGCUCAGAAGCUCAGUGUACCACCCCAUCCCCAGGAGGCCCACUUAGACCAGAAAUCCCAAGUCCAUUAGCUACAGGCUGAUAUUCAGGGACAUCGGUGUAAACAAAGAAGUGGGAUAUGAACUAUAUCCCUGAUUUUUUUUUCUUUUUUUUUUUUUUUGAGACUAAGUCUCACUCUUGUCCCCCAGGCUGGAGUGCAAUGGCGCGAUCUUGGCUCACUGCAACCUCCGCCUCUCAGGUUCAAGAGAUUCUCUUGCCUCAGCCUCCUAACUGGGAUAACAGACACCUGCUACCAUGCCCGGCUCAUUUUUUUUUGUAUUUUUAGUAGAGACGGGGUUUCACCAUGUUGGCCUGGCUGGUCUCGAACACCUGACCUCAGGUGUUCCGCCCGCCUCAGCCUCCCAAAGUGCUGGGAUUACAGGUGUGAGCCACCGCACCCGGCCUAUAUUCCUGAUAUUUAACAAGGAAAAAAAAUUCUGCAGGGGAGAACUUUCCUGAAAGAUAUUUUUUCUGGACAUCUCUCUCUACUGACUGAUAGGGUGAGGCUCAGAACAGGCUUCUUCCAAGCUCAGAGAGGCUGAGAGAUGGGUCAACUGGGUGAUGCCCGUUUUGAGAGCCUUAGCUUCCCAAGUGGACAGCACAGAAGAGCUGGGAGGAGUGGCUAGAAAAUAAGUUUGAAAUGAGCCCCGGGUUGAGGACUCCAGAGCACAGCUGCAUUAUAGAGACGGGGCCCGCUGAGUCCUCUCCUCUCCCCCUACUUCUUCUCCUCCGGGGCUUUCUCAGUGAUUCCAGGGGCAAAGGGUCCCACGAGCCACGUGACAGGUGUGUUCUGGGCCACAUAUUCCACCAUGUGGUCCAGGGCCUCGCGGGCG
rnacentral:lncRNA from 1 species